rnacentral:rRNA from 1 species
CUUGGUCAUUUAGAGGAAGUAAAAGUCGUAACAAGGUUUCCGUAGGUGAACCUGCGGAAGGAUCAUUAUUGAAUGAAAUUGAGUGGGGUUGUAGCUGGCCUUUCACUGGGCAUGUGCACAUCUCAUUCAACCUCCUUCUAAACCUCUGUGCACUUCUCAUGGGUCUAGGUUGCAUCUGAAAUAAUGUUGAAACCUGACUCAUGUGUUUUUACACACACACAUGUUGUUAUGUUUCAAAGAAUGUCUGUGAUGCAUGAAUUGCAUAUAAUACAACUUUCAGCAACGGAUCUCUUGGCUCUCGCAUCGAUGAAGAACACAGCGAAAUGUGAUAAGUAAUGUGAAUUGCAGAAUUCAGUGAAUCAUCGAAUCUUUGAACGCACCUUGCGCUCCUUGGUAUUCCGAGGAGCAUGCUUGUUUGAGUGUCAUGGUAUUCUCAACUCUUCUGUGUUUUUUUUACUCUCCAAAGAACAUGGUUGAGCUUGGAGUUGGAGGUUUCCAUUGCCGGUGAGUGGGUUGAUCUAAACCCAGACACUGGCUCCUCUGAAACGUAUUAGCUCGAGUAAAAAUCAAGCAUGAUUCAGUGUGAUGAUUGUCUACACUGUUUCAACUUGGGACAUUGGAAAUGCUUGAGCUUCAAAUUGUGUCUCAGGACAAAAUCCCUGAACAUCUGACCUCAAAUCAAGUAGGACUACCUGCUGAACUUAAGCAUAUCAAUAAGCGGAGGA